rnacentral:rRNA from 1 species
UACGGGGGGAGCAAGCGUUGUUCGGAUUUACUGGGCGUAAAGGGCGCGUAGGCGGUCAGCACAAGUCAGUUGUGAAAUCUCCGGGCUUAACUCGGAAAGGUCAACUGAUACUGUGCGACUAGAGUGCAGAAGGGGGCAACUGGAAUUCUCGGUGUAGCGUGAAAUGCGUAGAUAUCGAGAGGAACACCUGCGGCGAAGGCGGGUUGCUGGGCUGACACUGACGCUGAUGCGCGAAAGCCAGGGGAGCGAACGGG